rnacentral:tRNA from 1 species
GCCCGGAUAGCUCAGUCGAUAGAGCAGAGGAUUGAAAAUCCUCGUGUCGGUGGUUCGAUUCCGCCUCCGGGCACCA